rnacentral:misc_RNA from 1 species
CAGCGAUUUUUUUGAUCCAGGGCAAUAUGAAGUUCUUCCAUGACUUCAUCCCUCUCCUUCUUGCUCUUUUCAAGCUCUUCCUUUUCUUUUGCCAAUGCUUCCUCAAUUUCUUUCCUUUGUCUUGACUCCUCAGCAUACAAGCCCUCAGAUGCUUUGGCCCUGCGUAUAGCCUCCCUGGCAUCUCUUUCAGCUUUUGCACGCCUUACUGUCUCUUCAAAUGCUUCUCUCCUUGAAUUUUCAGCCUCUGACAUUGCUUGUUCAAGUUGAUCAUAGAGAGGAUCAUCUAUAUUUCCGUCCAGCACACUGGAAGGAGUUGAGUGGUGAGGAUCCUCUUUAAGUUGAGCCGGUGUGCUUAACUCUGAUCCAUUCUCACUCCCUUCCGUUCUAUCAAGUGGAACCAAACCAACAUUGACCAUUCCACUGGAAGGGUAUGUUGACAGAAGGGAGCCCUGAGAAGUACUCCUUGACAACGCAUCACAGUCAUCAGAUGAAGCAGAUGAAACAGAUGAAGCUCCUUCUGCAUCUGACCUGUUCUGUGAAGUUGAUGGCCC